UCUAAUUUUCUCUAUUAUGUUCACCACAAUGGCUAAUCAAUAAAGCUUCGGAAAAUUACCUGAAAACACUAAUUACAUUACCUCCAAUCUCAGCAGAGUGGAGCUCCAUUUCAGGAGCAGGACGUGAGGGUGGUUGUCGCUCUCCUGUCCAAGAAGCGCGUCAUUAAGUAAUAUUUCAUCUAAGUUCAGCUAAAUUGUGAAGAAUUUAGAUGUCAGUGGGUUUUGGUACCUGGAGGUCUUACCAAGUCGUCUAUAAAACAUGGAAUUUAGAAUUUGAAAGCAACCAUACAACCCUCCCUUUCACAAUGCUCACAUUGAAAUGGGCUGAAAGCUUUUUUUUAAGCACAUUUCCCAUUUUUUUUUUCUCCCAAUUUGGAAUGGCCACUUUUUGUCACCUCUCAAGCUCAUUGCUACAAACUGUGAUAUUAAUUUAGGAUACAUGUUAAUUAACCUUUGUUUAUGCAUGGUAUGUUGACUGUGCAUGCAUGCUCUUUUAAAGCAAUGCUGUGUUAAUGCCCCCCUCCAUAUAGUCUAACCUGUACAUCUUUUGGAUUUUGGGAGAAAACCAGAGUACCCGGAUGAAACCCAUGCAGGCACUGGGAAAACACGCAAACUCCACACAGAAACGCCUUGGAUCUGAACUCAUGACCUAGUGCUCUCCACUGCCUCACCGUGCUGCACAUUGCAUGCUCUGCUCUGAAACAUGAUGUCAAACAGAUGCUUCUUGCAUCCAAGCCAUUUCAGUUGGUGAGUCUGCGCAGACAUAAGUCGGAGGAUUACUUCAUGUGAAGGAAACGGACGUUGGGCUCCCAAAAGCAAGGGUCUCUACAUAGUGGUGAGAAUUGGUGGACCUGGCCAGCUAGAACCUCCCUCUUUAACCAGUUUGAAGCAUGCUGCUGCCACAUGAUUACAGCUGCUUAAAACUGCAACUGUGAGCAACAGAGUGACACAUAAUUAGCUUCAGAAUUACCCAGAGGACCUGCUGGCCACAUUACUCUUUUAUGCAGUUUUAAAUAGACUGCUCCCACUUCAUGAAGCAUACAAAAAAUUGGAUCAUAAU